UGCAGGAGGCAGAGGGGGAGGAAGACGAUCGAGAGGGCUGAAGAGGAGGAAGACAAACGAGUAGGAAAGGAAGAAGCCGCUGGAGUGGUGAAUGGAAGACUAAGAAGAAAGAAAGCAUUAGAGGAUAUGUUGAGCCUUUGAUGUUAAAUUCGGCAAGUAUAUCGUAACGUCGUCUGCUGCUGAGAGGUAGGUGGCCAGCUUGACGGACAUGGGCCAUCCAAUUCCUACUCUGACUGGGGAGAAGCACAUAGGAAAGGAUAUGCCCACCACCUCAAAUUAAACAUGUUAAAUUUGUCUUGCCCGGAAAGAGAGAAAUAAAGACUCCAGUGACCAGUUCUACACUCAGUUGACUGAGAGAUUGGUGUGCCAGUUACAGAUGCAGUUGGUUUGCACAAUGCCAGUAUCCUUCCAUCCAUCUGACCCCAUGUUACUGAUGAAAGGGAUGUACAAAUGCAGGACACAGGGAGGACCCAUGACUUGGGAAUACAACCAAGUGAUGUCUGAUGAACCUUAAAAAUGGUGUGUGGAAUCUAAGG